UGAGAUGUAGCUCAGUGGUAGAGCGCUUACUUAGCAAGUAAGAGGCCUUUAAUUCAA
rnacentral:tRNA from 1 species